rnacentral:rRNA from 1 species
GCUUGGUGGCAAUGGCGAAGAGGUCACACCCGUUCCCAUCCCGAACACGGAAGUUAAGCUCUUCAGCGCCGAUGGUAGUGAGGGUUUGUCCCUUGUGAGAGUAGGACGCUGCCAGGC